UUCUUCCUUCGGCUUCCACCCAGCCUUGCCGUUUCACAGCCCUCACAGAGGGCACCUGGACAGCAGAGGGAGCCCAUCUCCCCAGGAGUUGGAGGGGCUGGCUUACCCAGCAAGCUCCACGCCACGAUGGGGCCCCCGUGCCUCGGCCUCCUGCCCAGACCCUGGGCGGUCCCCACGGUGCUCAGCCUGCCCCUGGCUGCUCCCCCCCGGGGCCGGGCCCAGGCCUGGAGCCCAGACGGUGGGGACGGCUCAGGACUCACGGGAGCCUGGUGGAGUGGAGGACUCUAAAUCUGGAACAAGAACCACCUGGGCUCGAAGUCACGACUUUUAUUUUGGAAAACAAGCAAAAGAAAAUGCAGCCUGGAAUCUUCAAACGAGGAGAAAAACCCCAUUCAGUGUGACCUCAGAAAAAGCUUGCCACCCCUGGUGUGGAUAAAGAUGUGCUUGGUAAAUAGAAUGGAAGCAAAGGGGAGAAAAGUGGAAAAAGAGGAAGGUUUUCAAGAAGAGCAAGGACAAAAGAAAGCUGAGCCAUGAAGAUGAAGCCAAUGCUCUAGGAAUGACAGUGCUCCAAAACCCUGGGUUCUGAUGGCCUCAUGGAACAAAACUGCCUACCUUCCUGACCACUUGCCACCUUUGCCUUUUAAUGAGAGAGAAUGGAAACUUUUAUCUUGUUUAAGCCACUGUUUCUCUGUCUCUCAAGGCAGCUGAGACAUUAUCCUAAUUAACGUGGUAGCCAUUUAAAUCUAGAGGGUGAGGAGGAGGAAGACGUCCAGAGGGAAGGGUAGCUGGGCAGAUCUGUAUUUCAGAAAGAUUGCUGUGGUGGAGAGCAGAUUUGGAGGGUGGCACUAACUGAUGACAUGGAGGCCAGUGUAGUGGUCCAAGGGGGAGAAAAUGGCAUUUGGAACUAGGGUAGUGGUAGAUGGGACAGAAGAAGAUACGUGGAUGGACUAGAAAUACGUUUAGGAGUUAGAACCCAUGGGAUAUGAUGACUAUGAUUGACUAUGAUUGACUAUGGGGUGAGGGGAAAGAAAGAUUCAAGCUGCCUUAUGCCAUUGUCUAGAAGAUGGCACCAUUUAUUGAGUUUGGGACCAAAGGGGUGGGACAGGUUUGAAGGGGAAGAAAAUGAAGUCAAGUUGGGACACACUGAGUUUGAGAUGUGACAUCCAAGAGGGCAUGUCCCCUAGGCUUUAGGCUACAGGGGCCCAAAGCUAAGCAGAGAAAGUGGAACUAGAGGGAAAGAUGGCAGAAGAUAAAUGGCAGUGGAAUUCAAGAGUACUGAUGGAAUCGCCCAAGAAGGGGACAAGGUCUAGAGCACAGCCUCAAGAGAGCAACAUUUAUGCAAAAGAAACAUCUGAGAGAGAGACUGAGAAGGAGUGGCCAGAGACGUAGGGGGAAGAUGGAAUAGGAAAAGGUGGAUUUUGCAAGGAGGAGGUGGGUUAGAAAUAGCCUGCUGCUGAGAGGCUAAAGGAGAAAGCUUCUGGAAGUGUCCAGUAGAUUUGGUAACAAAGGAGUUGACGACCUUGACAAGGGUAAUUUUAGGGGAGUGGUCAGGGCAGAAACCAACUGGGAGUGCUUUGAAAGUGAGUGGGGUAAGAUAGAGAAGACAGAGUGAAGACAACCCCUUCAAGAAGUUGGUUAUAAACAGAAAGCAAGGAAUUAGGUGUCUGUUGGCAGAUGGCAUUCGAUUCCAGGUGAAACUGUAUUUGUAAUUUUUUCUUCCCUGUUUCUAACUCUCACAAGCCCAUGAAUUAGUGGGUAGACAUCAAGUAUGUAACAUUUUCCUGAAAAGACCUGGAAAUUGCUUAUUUGAAUGUUCUAGCCGGAUAUAACAUCGUAGAGAUCUUUGAAUCUGCCAACCGGACCAUAGCAUGUGUAACUGACUCUCUCCGUGCUUUCAUUCAACCAAGUGGUUUACUGAGGACCUGCUCUGUACUCAGCACCGUGCUAAAUGCUGCAAGGGAGCCAGGAUACAGGAGGACGUUUUGUAACAAUUUUGGUCUGAUGAAAUUAAAAAAGGGGAACAUCCAGGCUCCAACAAAUGCUGAAGUGGUUCCAUCGAUGUCGCUGAAAGAUCAAAACCGUCUUGUUCCUCUUUUCUUAGUACACGGAACUAUUUCAAUGGAGCUUUAAAGAGGAGAGAGAUUUGCUGAGCGAGAAUAAUUAUCAGGGAUCAAGCACAUCACCUGAGAGGGGGCGCACAGGAGAGAAGUGUGGGGGUUUGAAGAAGGAGAAGACGGUGUGAAGGAGUCACCGAGAAACUGGGGAAGAAAACAUACCAGAGAGGUGUAGCUGGCCUGGCAGAUCUCAGUGCCUGCCUAAGACUUGUGUGCAUGAAUCUCAAAUGAGACCACUCCUGGUGCUGGGAACUCUGUUUCCUGCAGCCAUGUUCAAGUGCUUGGGUGCCAGCGUGGAACAGGCGGCUGGAAUACCAUCAGUGAGGUCACCUGGUCCUGCAGCAGCCCUACAAGGGGUGAGGUAAGCUGCCUGGAGACACAGAGUGUCAGUGGUGGUGCUGAGCCGGGGCCCUCUGACUCUACAAGCAGAGUCCUUCUGUCCUGCAGAGAUGCUGUCCUGGCACUGAGACAGACGGCAAGCAGAGAGAGGGAAAAGGGACUUCCUUCACUGGGGUGUUUUUGGUUUUUAAUCUGAGAAAAGGCCCUCUUGACUUCUAGGAGGAAGCAAAACCAAGAGAAACAGGUGUAAGCCAAGCUGAUCUCUGGUUCCUUCUAGCCCUGAUUGUCAAAAAUACCAUCUUUAGCUUGCUUCCAUUUGCAGAGGAUCAGUUUGCCAAGCACAGCCUAGUGCAUGAUUUGGGGAUCAUUCAACAUGCUGUGUCAUCUCCCUGUGUUAACUUCCGGGUUGUUGGGAACAGCAGAGAAUUCAAUCUAUCAGGGUAGCAGGCAACUCUGGUACCCGAGUCACAUCCCCUUAGCCUGCCUCUGUUUCAGCCAAAGCCACAGGGGCUGUUCCUUGCAAGUGCACCUUGAGCCACCAGCAUCCCACCUCAAGCGUACCCAUCUCUCUGCCCCAGGGCCUUAUCGUGGGAACUCAGCUAGCACAUGCACCACCCAGAAGUAAGAGAGAGAGGGAGCGGCAGGGUGGGGGGGGGGGGAGAGAGAGUGUGUGUAUGUGAUGCCCAUGCAGCCAACAUUCAACCAAAGGGGGAUGGAACCUUCACCAAAGGCUGCUGGAAUGUCCCAGCCCUCUCACCUUUCCAGACACCUCUAGAAGGUGUGCCAUCUGCUCAGGAGGUCCCAAGGGAAUGGAGCCUCCAAGGCUCACAGGAGCCCCCGUGACAACUCACCUGUACAUUGGCUUUUUCUUACUUCCUGUCUUUCUUGCUCUCCACGCCCUCUCUCUUGUUUUCUGGGAUUGCCUCACAAAUAAACCACCUGUCCCCAA
rnacentral:lncRNA from 1 species